rnacentral:rRNA from 1 species
UACGUAGGGUGCAAGCGUUGUCCGGAAUUAUUGGGCGUAAAGAGCUCGUAGGCGGUUUGUCGCGUCUGUCGUGAAAGCUUGGGGCUUAACCCCAAGUCUGCGGUGGAUACGGGCAGACUAGAGGCAGGUAGGGGAGAACGGAAUUCCCGGUGUAGCGGUGAAAUGCGCAGAUAUCGGGAGGAACACCAGUGGCGAAGGCGGCUUCCUGGACCGGUUCUGACACUGAGGAGCGAAAGCGUGGGGAGCGAGCCGG